AGAGCGAACGCUGGCGGCAGGCCUAACACAUGCAAGUCGAACGGACUCUUCGGAGUUAGUGGCGGACGGGUGAGUAACACGCGGGAACGUGCCUUUAGGUUCGGAAUAGCUCCUGGAAACGGGUGGUAAUACCGAAUGUGCCCUUCGGGGGAAAGAUUUAUCGCCUUUAGAGCGGCCCGCGUCUGAUUAGCUUGUUGGUGAGGUAAUGGCUCACCGAGGCUACGAUCAGUAGCUGGUCUGAGAGGAUGACCAGCCACAUUGGGACUGAGACACGGCCCAAACUCCUACGGGAGGCAGCAGUGGGGAAUCUUGCGCAAUGGGCGAAAGCCUGACGCAGCCAUGCCGCGUGUAUGAUGAAGGUCUUAGGAUUAGUAAAAUACUUUCACCGGUGAAGAUAAUGACUGUAGCCGGAGAAGAAGCCCGGCUAACUUCGUGCCAGCCAGCCGC
rnacentral:rRNA from 1 species